CUGCAUGGUGGCCACCGAGGCUCCGAAUUCGGAUUACUGCUCCGAGGACACGGAGCUUUGGCGGAGGCGGCGAUUGUGGGAGCGACUCUGAUGCACAAGUUUUGCUCGGAAGAGACCGCUAGGGUUUUCACCGCCUGUAAUGUGACCGAGGAGAGCCUCUGGCGGAAAGUUCAGAUGGGGAGUAUUGAAUGGAGUUUGGCAAGAAGUAAAAGGAAAACGAGUCGGGGUCGGGUGGAGGGUCGCCCCGUGAAGGACAUUAGGACUGGGAUGGAAGUUGAUGUCUACUUCAGGACCAGGUGGAACAAGUGGGUCAUCUGGCACUGCUGCAGAACUGCACCGCACACCUGAGCACCAAAUGUCCCCAUCCCGUCUUGAAGCAAGCGCCAGUACAGAUACACCCACUGGGGGAGAUCCGAGUGUUGAGGAUGAGUGAACCAUCGAUGAGGGAAGGGGACCAGUACUGGUAGAUGAUGAGGUGCCUUCUUGUGAGGGGUGGAGGCCCCCUGUGCUGGGCCCACCAACUGAGGCAGAUGUAGAUCCAGAUGUCAGGGGGGGCCUGUCUUCAAGCAGAGGCUGUUGAAGCACGCGGUCAGUGUAGGGCAAUCGCUCGCUUCUGUUCACACAACCGUGGGAGAUGGCACGGCCAUGCUGGACCGCUGGUUGUGGGCCCUGCAGUCUGCUGUUCAGCAGUUGUCAACACCAGUGGCUUCUGCAGUGGAAACCCCCGUUACUCAAGCCUGGGAAUCUGCCGGCUCCUCGCUCACUUCUGCAACAGAGAUUUCAGGCUCCAAGCUCCAAGAGGCCAUUAAAGUGGAGAAUGUUUGCAGGUAACUAUGGCAGAGGGGCUCCAGGGUCUUCAUAGAAGCCCAGUUCGCUGUGAUUACACAGUGUGAAAAGAUGGCGUCCACCGGUGGUGCAGCACAGGCUGGUCCUGUGGGCUGUCAUUUGAGUAAAGAUGUUCUGCCAACGAAGCACCCUCCACCUGUGCAAAGAUAGUCUGAAGCUACCCAACACCAGAGAUCGCUGGCACUGAUGCAGCUCCAUCUGGGUUAGUUGCAGUUGCAAACACCAGGAUUUCUGUAUUCUACGCAGCUCCAGGGUUGGCUGUGAGUGUCAAAGUACAGAAACUAGGGAGUUAGCACUGUGUACUAAUGCUUCCUCCAUCCUGCCCCAGUCCGGUGCUGAACCGUUCAGUAGCAGGAGUCCGCUGGCACGGCCAGCACCUGCUCUGAUUGCUUUGUUGUGUUUGAUUUUUCAACUUAGCAUUUGAAUGGUUGAACGCUCAGUGAAGAGAGCAAAUGCUGGCUGCUGGAGUAAAUCAUUCCACUAGCAGGCCAUUGGGAACGGGGUAGACAGUGGAACUAGAGCAGACAGGUGAGGGGGAAGGGGGCAGAUCGCUACCGGGGAGGGUACAGGAAAGAGACCACUGCGAUGCAGGUGAGUGGGCAGAAGCAGAAUGUACAGGCCAGUGACUCACCCUUCCACACUUCCCUCUAUUAGUUUAGAUGUCUUUAUGUAUGGAAUUUGCUGCGAGGGUUUGGGCUGUUUGAAUCCAGUGGUCUGGAAAGGGUACUAUAUUGAUUGGUUAAGGAAAUGCUUAAAGCUUCUGUCUGUCUACUCUUCUGGGCUUUCACUGUGUUGGGGUUAAUCUAAUAAGUGCACGUGAAAAUAUUCUAUGUGCCUUAAGUGUUUAUGCUUUGAAUUUUGAAUCCUGGAAGUAUUGCCUACAGCUUGCAAUGCCUAUUAGCACGCCUUCCCAUGCUGUCAGGUUGGCCAUCUUCACACUAAUUAACAUUCCCUCCACUUCCCUCCCCUGCCAGCACUCCUAAAAUGAUGAUAAAUUCGAAGAUGGACUGAACUGUCAGUAAGUGAGCUGCUUCUCGAGAGUCCUGCAAACUGUUCAGAGUUUGGGAAGGGAAGUGGUUUUUAUUUGGAGCAGUUACCCCUGACUGUGCCUUGUAUCUGCAGUUUGCAGUUGGCUCAGAGUUGUCCUCCUUUGGCGAUCCUGAAGUUGCACACACAAGUGUGGUGAAGAACCUGCAGGGCACCCUCCGAGGUGUAAUAUGGGAUUGUUGAAUAAACGGAAUUUACUUUUACCAGA